rnacentral:lncRNA from 1 species
GUGGGUAUCAGGAGAAUGAGGCAAGCCAAGCUGUGAGGAGUCUGUGGGUCAUGGCUUUGGCAGCGUGGAACCUGGGACAUAGAGUCCCCCUUGAUACGGCUGUUCGGCAGACCAACUUUGUUGUAAAUAUUUAGAUAAAAAUGGGCUUUAGAGCAGCCACAUCUGAAGACCCACAAGGCUGAAUGUUACACAGGGGGAGCACCACUAUUUAAUCUGAACAUCUGGAAUCCAUCAUGUGUAGUGAAGGACAAGAUGUAUCCUCAUUUUUAAGCCAACUCCAUGAUAAAACUGAUGGAUGGGACCAAUGUGUACAGGUAGCUCAGAGGUUGAUGCUAAGACAAAAACCAACAGAGGGCUUAGAGCUCAGCUGUUGGUCCAUGGAUGUUCGUAGAUGUGACUUAAACAGAUGCUUGAAUUGUGCUAUACAUUUAGGCUUGCUCUCCCGCUCUGUCUUCUGCCAUGAGAAGAAUAUAUCUCACUAGCCACUGACUGGGACAAGGAAGAUGAGAAAUAGUCAUGGCAGAUCUAUACCCAGCCUAUAGCUCUGAGCAAAACUCUGAGUCAAACUCGGCCUGCAUUUUGCGGACUCCCUGCUGGCCUGAAAAAAUUUGUAUUCAUUGUGGAAAGCCAAUUUUCAUUGUGGAAAGCCAAUGAAAAGAAAAUUCGUGUUCAUUGUGGAAAGCCACUAAGUUUGUCUGUUUUGUUAUGUAGCAUUGUUGAGAAAAUACUAGACUGAUACAACUGUUUAUGAAUUAACACCAUUUUGCUUUUAGGCACAUCUUCUUUAUGUAGGUACCAUAACAUAGGUUCCCUUGAUCUUUACCAUAAUCUCAUAAAUCAGACACGAUCGUAUCCCCAUUUUAUACAUUUGAAAUCUGAGGCCUCAAGAGGUGAAGAGAAUUCCUAGACAAGACUUGACACCAAUUUGUACAUCUCCAAAUCCCAUGUUACACGCUGCUUCAUCCAUUUAAAUGUAGCUUAGUUAGCCUGCCUCUCUGGUACCUAGUAAGUCCUCAAUAAACACUAAU